rnacentral:lncRNA from 1 species
GGAAGCACACGGCCCCCGUACUUCAGCGAAUGACCAAAAUAAGAAUACAAAAGAUAUCCCGAGUGCAAGUAAACACCUAGAAAGAGAAACACAACCGUCAAACACCAAAAACACGAACGCCUAUCAUAUCAAAGAUCGUCCUACAGGAUUCUGAGAUAUUCUGAGUCUCUUAUCUCAAACUACAGAGAUCAGCAGUACAAAGAUUGUCUGAAAUUUGAGAAGGCAUCAAGAGUUCAUAGUAUUAAUCAAUUAUAAUUUGAUACUCUUUUUCCCAGUUGUAGUCAACUCCCCGUACUUCAGCGAAUGAACUAAAUAAGAAUACAAAAGAUAUCCCGAGUGCAAGUAAACACCUAGAAAGAGAAACACAACCGCCAAACACCAAAAACACAAACGCCUAUCAUAUCAAAGAUCGUCCUACAGGAUUCUGAGCUAUUCUGAGUCUCUAAUCUCAAACUACAGAGAUCAGCAGUACAAAGAUUGUCUGAAAUUUG